rnacentral:lncRNA from 1 species
AUCUUGAAGGCAUUGCAAUGGAGCCCAAGGAGAAUGAAAGAGCCGCAUGUACUUUGUGAGAUCUCUCUGUUCAGUUGUGCUGUGUAGAAUCCACUAUUUUCUCCUCCCUUAAGAAAAUCUUGGGUGUGUUCCAUAACUUCCUGGUCACAUUUGGUAAUUAAAACUUAGUGUGGCUUAAUUUAAACCCUUAAUUGCAUGUCCAAUUUACAGCUAGAGCUGUGACUCUGACUGUUUAGAAAGAGGAUGGGGGGGCAAGAUCUGGCUCUGGAUCAACCCUGUCCCCUUCUUCCUCUGGACCUGGCCAGGCAGCUGCCUGGAGGAGGGCUAGGGACCCAGGAGAAUCCUUCCUUAAAUGUCCACUUGCUCUCGCGAGGGCUUGUUCAGAACCCCCCUGGGUGCAUGUACGUACCAGUUGUGUGUGUGGGCUUUUUAACUUUCCCCACCCUGCCCAAUUCAGCCUUGUGUGCCAUGAGCCCUCUGUGGACAACCGAGGUCUUGACGUGGGGACUACUGAAGAAAUAAUCCCAUGGCUCCGGCACCUCCACCAAGAUCUGGGCUCCUUCAGGUGGCGCUGGUGAAAGGCUGGGGUCCCCUUUCCCACCGCCCAGCAGGAAGAAAACCAGAUGGGCUGUGGGUCCUCCUGCCAUUCCCAGGUGUUUCUCAGUUCUCACACUCACACCUCAGACGUUUGUAGGCUGAAGGUCGCAGACUGCAUAUUCCUCUGUGCUUUGUCCAGCUCAGGGCUACCCGUUGAGGCCCCCCUAGAACUCUGGCACCCAUUCUUCUGCGGAGACAUCCUGAGGGAAGGUCUGACAGCUUUGGAAGUUCAGGAAGGCCUCCGAUUAAAGAAUGAGAUGCUGAUUUCCCUUGACUGCAAGUAGCCCGGGCAUCACAGAUGACUCCUGCAGAGCCGGAAACAUACCCUCCCCUGCCCCUUGGCGAGGGGUGAGACCAGGCUGGUACAGUGCAUGGUAAUUCCCACGCGGCCCUUGCUUGGCACCACUCCCGCCUUCUCUAGACUGCAGAGGGCCUGGGAGCAUGCUACUUGGUGGUGGGGGACCAUCCUGCUGCCUCUCGGUCACCCUAAAGGAUAGUGUCUGGUCCUAAUGCACAACGGCUUCCUUACUGGUCUGGUUAGAACAUAAAGGCAUCUCAGUUUCCGGUGGUAUUAAAGACGGUGUUACACUACCACGACUGGACGUGACUGGAAGUGACUUGUUUGGGAGAAAAAUGUGGUUCCAAAAAAUGUACGUUUAUGGAAAAUUAGAGCGCAGAAACAGAAGUGAGCUUCCUUCCGAAGUCAUGGGCACAGAGCCACAGGACAGAUAAAGUUAGAAUCAUGGAGAAAAUGUUGUAUCCCAUGCCUGCUUGUUCUGAAUUCAGCUACGGACUUAGAGCCAAAGUAUCUUUGGGUCAUUCCAUCUAGGGUCCUGGGUCAUCCGCGCAUCCCCCCUUUCUUCCGCCCUUCACGGUCCAGCCGGGGUGUUAGUACCCACAUGGCUCUGACGCAGGGUUUUAAUUAGACCAUCCCAAGGUCGAUCGCACCAGAAACACCUGGGGUGUCAGGUACCCCAGGUCAAUCGGAUUAAAAUUUGAGAACCUAAUGAGAAGUUAAAGUUGGUGAACCUCGGGGCUACACUGCAAACUGCAGUGGGCCGCCUUCUCACCGAUGAAGUCAGCAGUCAGCUCCUCAGUGACACCUUCCCAGGCAUGACUGGCCUCACAAAGAACCUUCUCUUAGAUGGGCCUGACAUCUCUUAUCCACUUGCAAACUUGAACAUGCACAUCUCAAUAAAGUAAGCCAGAGCUCCCAUCCUGGCUCAGGGGAACUGACCCGACUAGGAUCUGUGAGGAUGCGGGUUUGACCCCCUGGCCUCGAUCAGUGGGUCAUGGAUCCAGCAUUGCCGUGAGCUGUGGCGGAGACUGAAGACAUGGCUUGGACCCUGCUUUGCUGUGGCUGUGGUGGAGGCCGGCAGCUGUAGCUCCAAUUCAACCCCUCGCCUGGAAACAUCCAUAUGCCCCAAGUGUGGCCCUAAAAAAAUGAGUGAAUGAAUGAAUGAAUGAAUGAAUAAAGUGAGUCUACAAGUGUUCACUCAGCUUUUUCAUGUGCAUUCGAGAGUUCAAAUCCAAAGUAAGCUGACUUCCUGACAAGUGCCUCAUACUGCCCAGUAGCUAGGAUUCCCUCACCACCUGAAAUUACUGUUUAUUUAUUUGUUGGGGGCUCAUUAUCCACCUUCGCAGACCUAAAUAUAAAAUCUUUGAUAUGAAGAACCUUGCCUGCCUGUUCACUGCGGUCCCAGCUCCUGGAUUGGUAGCCGGCUUGUAAAAAGCAGGCAGUUAGCCCCUGCUAAUGACUCAAUGAGUCAUAUAAAUAGUAUGUGAGUAGAACACAAAUUGUGCCAACAGCAUCAGGAGGCAUGGACAUGGGUUAGGGAAUCACAGUGGACUGGAGAAUGGAUGGGGUUAAUUUCAGACACAGCCCUCAAGGUAGCACCGUGAGCUGAAAUCUGAGAAGCUUCUGAAAGGCAUAGAGAAUCGAAGGUAGGAACUGGAUCCUGGCCUCUGGGGACUAGUUCAGGCAGAGGCCUUGAGGCAGAUGUUGAGAAACGGGUUCUGAAAAACAAGAAGCCCAGCUGUGCUGGAGCAGAGAGACCCUGGGGAGAAGCGACACGUGAAAGGGGCCCCAGGGCAGGGCAGGUAGAAGCAAGUUGGACUCAGUGGUCAGAAGGUUCUGUUCGGUCCAGAUGGUAACAGGAAGCCACUGGAGGGCCAUGUUUACACAUUUUCAAAAUCCAAUUAGGAUACCACAUGUUUUUAUGUUCUAAUCACCCAUUCUGGGCCCAUUAAAUAAAUUAGUUG